rnacentral:rRNA from 1 species
CCUACGGGUGGCAGCAGUGAGGAAUAUUGGUCAAUGGACGAGAGUCUGAACCAGCCACGCCGCGUGAAGGAUGACUGCCCUAUGGGCUGUAAACUUCUUUUAUAUAGGAAUAAAACAGGGUAUGCAUACCCUCUUGUAUGUACCAUAUCAAUAAGGAUCGGCUAACUUAGCUACAGCAGCCGCGGUAAUACGGAGGAUCCGAGCGUUAUCCGGUUUUAUUGGGUGUAAAGGGAACGCAGGUGGUUUGUUAAGUCAGUUGUGAAAGUCUGCGGCUCAACCGUAGAAGUGCAGUUGAAACUGGCAGACUUGAGUGCAGUAGAGGAGAGUGGAAUUCGAUGUGUAGCGGUGAAAUGCGUAGAUAUCUCGAAGAACUCCGAUGGCGAAGGCAGCUCACUGGACUGCAACUGACACUGAGGUUCGAAAGUGUGGGUAGCAAACAGGAUUAGAUACCCGAGUAGUC